rnacentral:rRNA from 1 species
AGAGUUUGAUCCUGGCUCAGAAUGAACGUUGGCGGCGUGGAUUAGGCAUGCAAGUCGUGCGAAAAACCUUAUUUUGAAGCUUCGGCUGAUUACUGAGGUGGACAGCGGCGAAAGGGAGAGUAACGCGUGGAUACCUGCCCCUGGAUUCAGGAUAGCUGCGGGAAACUGCAGGUAAUACUGAAUAAAGUCUCCGGACCAAAGGUGUAAUUCCGUCCGGGGAUGGGUCCGCGUCCUAUUAGCUUGUUGGUAGGGUAAUGGCUUACCAAGGCAAAGAUGGGUACCGGGUGUGAGAGCAUGGCCCGGCUCACUGGGACUGAGACACUGCCCAGACACCUACGGGUGGCUGCAGUCGAGAAUCUUCCGCAAUGGGCGAAAGCCUGACGGAGCAACGCCGCGUGCGGGAUGAAGGCCUUCGGGUUAUAAACCGCUGUCAGUGGGGAGGAAAUGCAUAAGGGUUCUCUCUUAUGUUUGACCGAUCUUCAGAGGAAGUCCGGGCUAAGUUCGUGCCAGCAGCCGCGGUAAGACGAACCGGACGAACGUUAUUCGGAAUCACUGGGCUUAAAGAGUGCGUAGGCGGCCUUGUAGGUUGGGUGUGAAAUCCCACGGCUCAACCGUGGAACUGCGCUCAAAACCACAAGGCUUGAGGGAGACAGGGGUGAGCGGAACUGAUGGUGGAGCGGUGAAAUGCGUUGAUAUCAUCAGGAACACCGGUGGCGAAGGCGGCUCACUGGGUCUCUUCUGACGCUGAGGCACGAAAGCUAGGGUAGCGAACGGGAUUAGAUACCCCCGGUAGUGCUAGCUGUAAACGAUGAGCACUUGGUCGAGGGAACUUCCA